UGAGAAGGAAAAUGCAGCUAGAGGCCGCACACACCUCUUUCUACUCGUGGAUGUAUAAUAACAGAGAGGGGAGUGAUUCGGAAACAGACAUGGGAAGAAAGUAUGUAGUCCAGAAACUGGAGAGAGAAGCUUUCUUUCAUGAAACAGAGAAGACAAAUUCUUUCUUAAGCAAAGGGGAGAAAUGUGCCCCAUGGUAUUCCCGCUGCUUCCUGCUGCUUCUGUGGACUAGUUCUUAACUGGCAGAGCAUUGUGGUUUCUUCUGGAUCAAGCUGCUGCUACUAAUUCAAGUUUAGGGCUUGCUGAUUGGACUGGAUUGCCACUGUUGAUUUGUGUUUGACUGCUGAUAUCCUGGUAAUGAAGACUGGAAUCAUCCUCAAAGAACCACUUCUAAACACAUCCACAUGCUCCUUGUUCUGUUAACCAUCUGCUUCUGCUACCUCUGGAUGUGGGGUAGAAGGGAGGUUAAGGUGUUUAACCUAAUUAAAGUAGGUUUUGAAAAAAUCUAAGCCUACAAGUUAGGAAGGAGCCCAGAACAAAAUAAUACCCAAGAUAUAGUGACCACUUCUUCCAGCUUGGCCUACCUUCUAUGUUCUCAGAACCUCUCAAAACAUGCUUACUACCUGAGUACAAAAUGUUGACUAUACAAACUCGUGGAGAACAUCUCAUAAUUGUAUUAUGACAUCCUGCAAGACUUU